AGAUUGAACGCUGGCGGCAGGCCUAACACAUGCAAGUCGAGCGGUAGCACAGAGAGCUUGCUCUCGGGUGACGAGCGGCGGACGGGUGAGUAAUGUCUGGGAAACUGCCUGAUGGAGGGGGAUAACUACUGGAAACGGUAGCUAAUACCGCAUAACGUCGCAAGACCAAAGUGGGGGACCUUCGGGCCUCAUGCCAUCAGAUGUGCCCAGAUGGGAUUAGCUAGUAGGUGGGGGUAAUGGCUCACCUAGGCGACGAUCCCUAGCUGGUCUGAGAGGAUGACCAGCCACACUGGAACUGAGACACGGUCCAGACUCCUACGGGAGGCAGCAGUGGGGAAUAUUGCACAAUGGGCGCAAGCCUGAUGCAGCCAUGCCGCGUGUGUGAAGAAGGCCUUCGGGUUGUAAAGCACUUUCAGCGGGGAGGAAGGCG
rnacentral:rRNA from 1 species